rnacentral:tRNA from 2 species
GCGGGUAUAGCUCAGUUGGUUAGAGCGCUUGGUUGUGGUCCAAGAGGUCGUCGGUUCAAAUCCGACUACUCGCCCCA